UAAGCAUAUCAAUAAGCGGAGGAAAAGAAACUAACAAGGAUUCCCAUAGUAACUGCGAGUGAAGCGGGAAAAGCUCAAAUUUAAAAUCUGGCAGUCUCUGAUUGUCCGAGUUGUAAUCUAGAGAAGUGUUACCCGCGUUGGACCGUGUAUAAGUCUCCUGGAAUGGAGCGUCAUAGAGGGUGAGAAUCCCGUCUUUAACACGGACUACCAAGGCUUUGUGGUGCGCUCUCAAAGAGUCGAGUUGUUUGGGAAUGCAGCUCAAAAUGGGUGGUAAAUGCCAUCUAAAGCUAAAUACAGGCGAGAGACCGAUAGCGAACAAGUACCGUGAGGGAAAGAUGAAAAGAACUUUGGAAAGAGAGUUAAACAGUACGUGAAAUUGCUGAAAGGGAAACGCUUGAAGUCAGUCGCGUUGGCUGGGAAUCAACCUUGCUUUUGCUUUGGUGUACUUUCCAGUCGACGGGUCAACAUCAAUUUUGAUCGGUGGAUAAGGUCGUGAGGAAUGUGGCAUCUUCGGAUGUGUUAUAGCCUUGUGUCAUAUACAUUGAUUGGGAUUGAGGAACUCAGCACGCCGAAAGGCCAGGUUUCGACCAUGUUCGUGCUUAGGAUGUUGGCAAAAUGGCUUUAAUCGACCCGUCUUGAAACACGGACCAAGGAGUCUAACAUGCCUGCGAGUGUUUGGGUGGAAAACCCGAGCGCACAAUGAAAGUGAAAGUUGAGAUCCCUGUCGUGGGGAGCAUCGACGCCCGGACCAGACCUUUUGUGACGGAUCCGCGGUAGAGCAUGUAUGUUGGGACCCGAAAGAUGGUGAACUAUGCCUGAAUAGGGUGAAGCCAGAGGAAACUCUGGUGGAGGCUCGUAGCGAUUCUGACGUGCAAAUCGAUCGU
rnacentral:rRNA from 1 species